rnacentral:rRNA from 1 species
AUUGAACGCUGGCGGAAUGCUUUACACAUGCAAGUCGAACGGCAGCAUAGGUGCUUGCACCUGAUGGCGAGUGGCGAACGGGUGAGUAAUACAUCGGAACGUGCCCAGUCGUGGGGGAUAACGUAGUGAAAAUUACGCUAAUACCGCAUACGAUCUAUGGAUGAAAGCGGGGGAUCGCAAGACCUCGCGCGAUUGGAGCGGCCGAUAUCAGAUUAGGUAGUUGGUGGGGUAAAGGCCCACCAAGCCAACGAUCUGUAGCUGGUCUGAGAGGACGACCAGCCACACUGGAACUGAGACACGGUCCAGACUCCUACGGGAGGCAGCAGUGGGGAAUUUUGGACAAUGGACGCAAGUCUGAUCCAGCCAUUCCGCGUGCAGGACGAAGGCCUUCGGGUUGUAAACUGCUUUUGUACAGAACGAAAAGGUCUCUACUAAUACUAGGGGCUCAUGACGGUACUGUAAGAAUAAGCACCGGCUAACUACGUG